ensembl:lncRNA LINC01515 long intergenic non-protein coding RNA 1515
GUGGAACCUGGAAUUCAAACGGCUGGGUAGGAAGCACGCUAGCAGGGGCCUCUGGCCUUGCUGAGGGUCCCUGUUUCCCCUUUUCCUUCCUUUUCACCCAACAAAACCCUGCUUUACUCACCCUUCAAACCAUCUAUGAGCCUAAAUUGUCGUGGUCGUGGAAUGGACAAGGACCCAGUCUUUAGCUGAACUAAGGGAAAGUCCUGCUUUUUGGCGCGCAACAGGGGAGCUCAAGAAACAGGCCUCACUCACGGCAUAUGGAACUAACCACGCCCCUAACUAAGAAGGCACACCUUAGUUGCAGUUAGCACACAAUUAAAGCAACUCUCCAAGUUUUACCUUAAAGUUCAAAAUUGCUAGGAGUUGAAACUACUAGAAAUAUAUUUACAUGCAAGAGUCAAAGAAACUUUGAACUAUUUAUGGCCUUUAAUAAUUAAGUAAGGUAUACUCCUGUGAUCAAGACUUGGAGCAUAUUUGUUUCUCUCUGCCUGGUUCCUCUAGAAAUUGGAAACUAUCAGAACAGAGACCAACUCCGUUUCCCGAUCCCUUUGCAAUCUGCAUUGAACCAUGAGUCAAGUUCUUGAUAAAGGAGUGAAAAUGGUAAGUCUAAAGCAAUGAAAAGCUGCUGUAUUGACUACACAUGCCUUCAUUUCUUCUACCCUGCUUCUUUCAUGCCUGCUUAUCUGAAUGACACCAGGAUGACAUUUAAGGCACAUCUGAAGAUGGGGAAACCACAGCACAGAAUAAGGCUGGGCCCUUGAAUCAAUAAAUGAAGGAGAACUACUCAAGAGAACAAAACCACCAGCAAUAUCCACCUGUAUUUGUCUUUUCAUAAUGUGUGACACAUGUGCUCAUGGAUUAUUGUCCGAAGCAAGACAUGUGACCAAGCCUAACAUCAACUGGGUGAAGAGCUAUAUGUUCCUUUCUCAAGAGGCACUACAAGUGACAUGCCACUGGGCAGUGGCUGCUAUGGAAACAAGUCCUGAUGCAUGACAGAGGAGGAAAGCUAUCAGUCCUGUGGUUAAAGAGGGGACAUUUCCACUAGAUUUCCAAUUGCAUAUGGAAUCAAGAAAGAAGCAACUGGGAAUUACUUCACACAGCAAAUCUAAGGAAGAGACUGUUAAUUUGGCUUUGCCAGUUACUCCUUCUCAAGGCCCAUAAUUAAAUGUGAGUUUCUGGGCACUAAUGCAAAAGCCAGAUUUGCUCUGAGCCUGCGGGGCUUAUAAAUUGGUUGCUUUUGCAAACUGUUAUUGUUCCUUUAGGUCAAGAGGGGAAGAAUUAUUGACUUUGUUCAGUUGAAUUAAAUGCUCCCCUUGUGGUUUGAAAGAAGAAAUUUGCCUCCCUCACCCUCUAAGAUUACAUACAAAGGGAGAAUUGUUUUUGGGCAAGUUAGACUUGAUGAAAAAAUAUACAGUUCUACUGGAUUAUAGCACUGUGUGUUGCCUUAGAGUCACAUGACUCCAGUUUUGCCUUCUAUAUGAAGCCCAAGGCUUUCAUCUUUUUCUGAUACAGUGGGCUCUUCAGCUUUAAGCACUGACUUUUGUGUGCUAGUAUACAAUGCCUGUACACUCCCACAAAAAGCUCAAGAUGUCCUUACACGUAUUUGCUGUAGGUGUCCUUCAGCCGAUUUCAGUGCCUAGAAUCUAGAUGCUUUGCACCUAGUUUCACCUUUGCUCACAGAUGCUAGUGCCUUUUAGAAUCCCAAGAGGCCAAAGUAAAACUGAAAAGCCUAGGAGGACCUGGUGUGGCAAAAUCUCAUCAUGAUCCAUGCAACAGUGGAGGCAAUGUUACGCUCUGCCUCAGGUUAUACUUCUAUGCAAAUUAAAAAUAAAAUUCAUAGGAAGCAAUUAUAUUAGAGUUGGUAUUUAAUCCAGCAUUCUUCUGAAUUAUCUUACAUAUAAACUUAGUUCAUCUUAAUAUGAGAAUUAUAUAAUAAAUUUGAGGAAAUCUUACAGAUUUGUUCAAAAUAUGCUUGCUGAAUAAAUAAAUUAAUAGUAUAUGCUAGC